AUUGAACGCUGGCGGCAGGCCUAACACAUGCAAGUCGAGCGAGCAGCGGACGGGUGAGUAAUGUAUGGGGACUGCCCGAUAGAGGGGGAUAACUACUGGAAACGGUCGCUAAUAACGCACACAAUCGGAUAACCCAUAUGGGAUUAGCUAGUAGGUGAGUUAAUGGCUCACCUAGGCGACGAUCCCUAGCUGGUCUGAAAGGAUGAUCAGCCACACUGGGACUGAGACACGGCCCAGACUCCUACGGAGGCAGCAGUGGGGAAUAUUGCGCAAUGGGAGCAAGCCUGCUGCAGCAACGCCGCGUGUAUGAAGAAGGCCCUCGGUUUGUAAAGUACUUUCAGUCGAGAAGCGUUACCUACACAAGAAGCACCGGCUAACUCCGUGCCAGCAGCCGCGGUAAUAC
rnacentral:rRNA from 1 species